rnacentral:rRNA from 1 species
CAGCCGCCGCGGGAAUACGUAGGUGGCAAGCGUUGUCCGGAAUUAUUGGGCGUAAAGCGCGCGCAGGCGGAUAGGUCAGUCUGUCUUAAAAGUUCGGGGCUUAACCCCGUGAUGAGAUGGAAACUGCCAAUCUAGAGUAUCGGAGAGGAAAGUGGAAUUCCUAGUGUAGCGGUGAAAUGCGUAGGUAUUAGGAAGAACACCAGUGGCGAAGGCGACUUUCUGGACGAAAACUGACGCUGAGGCGCGAAAGCCAGGGGAGCGAACGGGAUUAGAUACCCCUGUAGUCCCUGUCUCUUAUACA